AUGUUCCCGGUGAAGCUGUUAUUGCUGGCGUUGAGUGCAAUCAGAUUUUUCAUCACCUUCCAUGUGGCUGAUGGAAAUUUUGAGCUGAACUGGUUGCUUGAGAUGUUGAGUACCUGCAGAGGCCGGUUGGUGGUAACCAAGUACGGCAGGUCGGGCAGCGGUCCGUUGAGCUGGUUGAAGCUGACGUCAAGGAUGAUGAUGCUUCCGGAGGACAUGAGCUCUGGCAAAAGGCCACCAGAGAAGGGGUUGUACGAGAGAUUGACAUGUAGCAGGCUGGUGAGGUUGGCCAGGGAUGGCGAGAUGCACCCUUCAAGUCCUUUAGAUCCCAGGGAUACCUCAGUAACGGCCUCAUCUUCAUUGCAGACGACGCCUUCCCACUUGCAGCAGUUCGUGCUGUUGUCGCGCCAUGACGUGGCGAGGCCACCAUCUCGCGAUAGCCCGGCUAGGAACCGGAGCAGAUUAUGCUUCUCCUGCUCGGUGCAUGCGGUGGCGGGAGAGGCCAAGAUGUGCAGCACCACGAACAGCACAACUGGAGGAACGGUGAAGGAAGGCAUUGGCCGGUGUUUGUUCUCCUCCUUGUUUUUCUGUUGCUUGAAGAAUGCACACGGUGCUGCUUAG
rnacentral:rRNA from 1 species